rnacentral:rRNA from 1 species
GACGAACGCUGGCGGCGUGCUUAACACAUGCAAGUCGAACGGAAAGGCCCUGCUUUUGUGGGGUGCUCGAGUGGCGAACGGGUGAGUAACACGUGAGUAACCUGCCCUUGACUUUGGGAUAACUUCAGGAAACUGGGGCUAAUACCGGAUAGGAGCUCCUGCUGCAUGGUGGGGGUUGGAAAGUUUCGGCGGUUGGGGAUGGACUCGCGGCUUAUCAGCUUGUUGGUGGGGUAGUGGCUUACCAAGGCUUUGACGGGUAGCCGGCCUGGGAGGGUGACCGGCCACAUUGGGCCUGAGAUACGGCCCAGAAUCCAACGGGAGGCAGCAGUGGGGAAUAUUGCACAAUGGGCGGAAGCCUGAUGCAGCAACGCCGCGUGCGGGAUGACGGCCUUCGGGUUGUAAACCGCUUUCGCCUGUGACGAAGCGUGAGUGACGGUAAUGGGUAAAGAAGCACCGGCUAACUACGUG